CACGGGGUUGCGAGCGUUGUCCGGAAUUACUAGGCGUAAAGGGCAGGCAGGCGGAUCCAUAAGUUUAUCGUUUAAGGCGUCGGCUUAACCGGCGUAGGGCGGUAGAUACUGUGGAUCUGGAAUGCGGUUGGGGAAGACAGAAUUCCUGGUGUAGCGGUGGAAUGCGCAGAGAUCAGGAGGAAUACCGCAGGCGAAGGCAGUCUUCCAAGCCGUUAUUGACGCUCAACUGCGAAGGUGUGGGUAUCAAACAGGAUUAGAUACCCGCGUAGUCCCU
rnacentral:rRNA from 1 species